AUUGAACGCUGGCGGCAGGCCUAACACAUGCAAGUCGCGCGAGCGGCGGACGGGUGAGUAAUGUCUGGGGAUCUGCCCGAUAGAGGGGGAUAACUACUGGAAACGUUCGCUAAUACCGCAUACUCUCGGAUUCACCCAUAUGGGAUUAGCUAGUAGGUGGGGUAAAGGCUCACCUAGGCGACGAUCUCUAGCUGUUCUGAGAGGAUGAUCAGCCACACUGGGACUGAGACACGGCCCAGACUCGUAAGGGAGGCAGGAGUGGGGAAUAGUGCACAAGGGGCGCAAGCCUGAUGCAGCCAUGCCGCGUGUAUGAAGAAGGCCUGAGGGUUGUAAAGUACUUGCAGCGAGGAGGCGUUACCCGCAGAAGAAGCACCGGCUAACUCCGUGCCAGCAGCCGCGGUAAGUC
rnacentral:rRNA from 1 species